rnacentral:rRNA from 1 species
AUUGAACGCUGGCGGCAUGCCUUACACAUGCAAGUCGAACGGCAGCACGGGAGCAAUCCUGGUGGCGAGUGGCGAACGGGUGAGUAAUAUAUCGGAACGUGCCCAGUCGUGGGGGAUAACGCAGCGAAAGCUGUGCUAAUACCGCAUACGAUCUAUGGAUGAAAGCGGGGGAUCGCAAGACCUCGCGCGAUUGGAGCGGCCGAUAUCAGAUUAGCUAGUCGGUGAGGUAAAGGCUCACCAAGGCGACGAUCUGUAGCUGGUCUGAGAGGACGACCAGCCACACUGGAACUGAGACACGGUCCAGACUCCUACGGGAGGCAGCAGUGGGGAAUUUUGGACAAUGGGCGAAAGCCUGAUCCAGCAAUGCCGCGUGCAGGAUGAAGGCCUUCGGGUUGUAAACUGCUUUUGUACGGAACGAAACGGUGAGCUCUAAUACAGUUUGCUAAUGACGGUACCGUAAGAAUAAGCACCGGCUAACUACGUGCCAGCAGCCGCAGUAAAAC